UACUCAUGUGACAGGGGUCUGCGGCCCGUGGUGGGCCCUUGGAGUUCAGAUCCAGCGUCCAGCUCCUGUCCUCAGAUGGCUUCCUGUCCAGGGGGAGACACGUCUCUGACCCCGUGUGAGACCACAAGGAAAGCUUUCUAUGUCUUCGCCUUCCUCUGCCUCCUGACCAACCCAGCACUUCCCUGCCUGGCCCCACGUGGUGUUCUGUGGCCCCUUGGGGGGCGGUCUAGUCCCAAGAGCUGAGCCGAGAGCUGAAUUCCGGCUGUAAGAAAGAAGUCAUUAUCGUCCAUUUUCAGUAGGAAGAUGCGCUGAGAGCCGACUGAAGAGAGGCAG